CCUGACUGCUAUCGGAUUGAUACUAAGCCAUGUGAGUCAUUGUAGCAAUACAAGGCAGACGGCUCAGUAACACGUAGCCAACCUACCCUAUGGACGGGGAUAACCUCGGGAAACUGAGGAUAAACCCCGAUAGAUCAUUAUACCUGGAACGGUUUAUGGUCCAAAUGAUUCGUCGCCGUAGGAUGGGACUGCGGCCUAUCAGCUUGUUGGUGAGGUAAUGGCCCACCAAGGCUAUUACAGGUACGGGCUCUGAGAGGAGAAGCCCGGAGAUGGGUACUGAGACACGGACCCAGGCCCUAUGGGGCGCAGCAGGCGAGAAAACUUUGCAAUGUGCGCAAGCACGACAAGGUUAAUCCGAGUGUUUCCUGCUAAAGGAAUCUUUUGCUAGUCCUAAAAACACUAGCGAAUAAGGGGUGGGCAAGUUCUGGUGUCAGCCGCCGCGGUAAAACCAGCACCUCAAGUGGUCAGGAGGAUUAUUGGGCCUAAAGCAUCCGUAGCCUGCUCUGUAAGUUUCCGGUUAAAUCCAUUAGCUUAACUGAUGGGCCGCCGGAAAAACUGCAAAGCUAGGGAGUGGGAGAGGUAGACGGUACUCGGUAGGAAGGGGUAAAAUCCUUUGAUCUAUCGAUGACCACCUGUGGCGAAGGCGGUCUACCAGAACACGUUCGACGGUGAGGGAUGAAAGCUGGGGGAGCAAACCGGAUUAGAUACCCGGGUAGUCCCAGCUGUAAACGAUGCAGACUCGGUGAUGCACUGGCUUGUGGCCAGUGCAGUGCCGCAGGGAAGCCGUUAAGUUUGCCGCCUGGGAAGUACGUACGCAAGUAUGAAACUUAAAGGAAUUGGCGGGGGAGCACCACAAGGGGUGAAGCCUGCGGUUC
rnacentral:rRNA from 1 species